CUGCGCACGCGCGCGUGCGGCGCCGGGCGGUGCGGCGCUCGGCUAAUCGCGCCUGCCGCACAAUGAAUGGCCGCUGAGCGCGGCGGGGACCCGGACGGGCACCGGGAGCGGCCGGAGCCGAGGCUGAGCCCCCCCCGCCCUCCGGCUCCCGUUGGCUCCUGCCAUGGCUCAGACACUGCAGAUGGAGAUCCCCAACUUUGGGAACAGCAUCCUGGAAUGCCUGAACGAGCAGCGGCUGCAGGGGCUCUACUGCGACGUGUCGGUGGUGGUGAAGGGCCACGCGUUCAAGGCUCACCGCGCUGUGCUGGCCGCCAGCAGCUCCUACUUUCGGGACCUUUUCAACAGCAGCAAGAGCGCGGUGGUGGAGCUGCCGGCCGCCGUGCAGCCCCAGUCCUUCCAGCAGAUCCUCAGCUUCUGCUACACGGGCCGGCUUAGCAUGAACAUGGGGGACCAGUUCCUGUUGAUGUACACCGCCGGCUUCCUGCAGAUCCAGGAGAUCAUGGAGAAGGGGACUGAAUUCUUCCUCAAGGUCAGCUCGCCCAGCUGCGACUCGCAGGGGCUGCACGGCGAGGAGGCUCCUUCCUCCGAGCCCCAAAGCCCCGUGGCUCAGACCUCGGGCUGGCCCUCGGGCGCCGCGGCGUUGCCGCUGGUGUCGCGGGUGAAGACGGAGCAGGGGGAGCCCGACGGGGUGCAGUGCACCUUCGUGGUCAAGCGCCUUUGGGACGGCGGCUCCAAGGAUGGCGCCGCCGGCGGCGGCAACGGCAGCCGGAAGAUGGCCAAGUUCUCCGCGCCGGAGCCGGGGCGGCAGCCGCAACCUGCAACCCCCACAGCAGGACCAGCGCCGGCCCUGGUGGCACCGGCCCCGGUGGCUCCCGGUCCCAGCGCUGCUGAUCAGACCAGCCCCGGAGGCACGUCCAGCGCCUACACGAGCGACAGCCCCGGCUCCUUCCACAACGAGGAGGAUGAGGAGGAAGAUGGGGGAGAGGAAGGCUCAGACGAGCAGUACCGCCAGAUCUGCAACAUGUACACCAUGUACAGCAUGAUGAAUGUGGGGCUGGCAGCCGCAGAGAAGGUGGAGGCUCUGCCGGACCAGGGCACGUCGGAGCCGCGCACCCGCGUGCGCGUGCGGCAGGACUUGGCCUCGCUGCCGGCCGAGCUCAUCAACCAGAUUGGGAACCGCUGUCACCCCAAGCUCUACGACGAGGGGGACCCGGCCGAGAAGCUGGAGCUGGUCACAGGCACCAACGUGUACAUUACACGGGCACAGCUGAUGAACUGCCAUGUCAGUGCGGGGACACGGCACAAAGUCCUUCUGCGGCGGCUCCUGGCCUCCUUCUUUGACCGUAACACCCUGGCCAACAGCUGUGGCACUGGCAUCCGCUCAUCCACCAAUGACCCCCGGCGGAAGCCGCUGGACAGCCGGGUCCUGCACGCUGUCAAAUUUUACUGCCAGAACUUUGCGCCCAACUUCAAGGAGAGCGAGAUGAACGCCAUCGCCGCUGACAUGUGCACCAACGCGCGGCGCGUGGUGCGCAAGAGCUGGAUCCCCAAGCUCAAGCUCCUGAGCGCCGAGGGCGACUCCUACACAUCCUUCAUCAACGAGGCCGGGAAGCUGGAGCCUGACAUCAUGGGCCCCGAGCCUGGCUUCGAUGCCAGUGCCCACGAGGGCGAAGCGGGAGCCCCUGGCGAGGGGCUGCAGUGACCCCCCUCCAACCCCCUGGGGACACCCCACUGCAGUGGGGAGCCCCCCCUGCCAGGUGGGGACCCCAGCGCAAGGUAGGGAUCUCCCUACCAGGUACAGACCCUGUCACCAGGUAGGGACCCCUCUGCCGGGUUGGGACCCCGUAACCAGGUAGGGGACCCCAUCACUAGGUAGGGGACCCUCCCCUCCAGAUAGGGUCCCCCUUGUAGUAGUGCCCUAUGGUUACAUGGGCACCCCCACCCGGUGGGCACUCUCACUGGGGAUGACCCCUUUGAUGGUGGAGGGAUCCAUGUGGUUGCAUGGCCCCCUCCUCCCAGGGGGUGUGUGUCAUCCCCCCCCAGGGGCAGGGACCCCCCAUCCCACCCCAUGGCGCUGCUGAGGGGUCUGGUCACCCC